UUUAAAGAUUUGCUCUUUGCCCUCACCUGCUUUUACAGUCCAACGGAUUUUGGCGGGCUUAUUUGUGUCUGCAGAGAGAAUUCUGAGGCCCCUCCCACGUUUCCUGAGUGCUCGUUUAUACAUUUGCUCUUUGCCCUCACCUGCUUUUACAGUCCAACGGAUUUUGGCGGGCUUAUUUGUGUCUGCAGAGAGGAUUCUGAGGCCCCACCCUUGUUUCCUGAGUGCUUGUUUAAACAUUUGCUCUUUGCCCUCACCUGCUUUUACAAUCCAAUGGAUUUUGGCGGGCUUCUUUGUGUCUGCAGAGAGAAUUCUGAGGUGUGUGACUGUCAUCUGAGUAGCAGUUGAAUCAGCAUUGCUGGAAAAGAAAUACAGUGAAUUUACAAGACAAUGUAUCAGAGUUGGAUGAAUUAUAUUGCAAUCACUUCACAAUGCAGCUAAGAAUCAAAGUAGUCUCCACCAUCAGCUUUCCAUUGCUUUUCAUCAUGAAAUGGUAUUGGGGUGAUUUUACUGUCACUGUGCAUGUUGCUCCUGCAGUUGUCUUGGUUGGACAAGCUGUGACAUUGUCCUGCCGUCUCAUAGGAAAGGUCCCCACUAACAUUCAAGUGCAUAUGUACAAACUGGAAAGGAACAAAAAUACGACGUUAUAUUUUUACAAUAGCACA